AUUGAACGCUGGCGGCAGGCCUAACACAUGCAAGUCGAGCGGAUGAAGGGAGCUUGCUCCUGGAUUCAGCGGCGGACGGGUGAGUAAUGCCUAGGAAUCUGCCUGGUAGUGGGGGAUAACGUCCGGAAACGGGCGCUAAUACCGCAUACGUCCUGAGGGAGAAAGUGGGGGAUCUUCGGACCUCACGCUAUCAGAUGAGCCUAGGUCGGAUUAGCUAGUUGGUGGGGUAAAGGCCUACCAAGGCGACGAUCCGUAACUGGUCUGAGAGGAUGAUCAGUCAAACUGGAACUAAGACACGGUCCAGACUCCUACGGGAGGAAGAAGUGGGGAAUAUUGGACAAGGGGCGAAAGCCUGAUCCAGACAUGCCGCGUGUGUGAAGAAGGUUUUCGGAUUUUAAAGCACGUUGAGUUGGGAGGAAGGGCAGUAAGUUAAUACCUUGCUGCUUUGACGUUACCAACAGAAUAAGCACCGGCUAACUUCGUG
rnacentral:rRNA from 1 species